UACGUAGGGUGCGAGCGUUAAUCGGAAUUACUGGGCGUAAAGCGUGCGCAGGCGGUUCGUUAAGUUCGUUGUGAAAGCCCCGGGCUCAACCUGGGAACUGCAAUGGAAACUGGCGGGCUUGAGUGUGGCAGAGGGGGGGUGGAAUUCCGCGUGUAGCGGUGAAAUGCGCAGAUAUCAGGAGGAACACCGGUGGCGAAGGCGGGAUCCUGGGCCAUUGCUGACACUGAGGCGCGAAAGCUGGGGGGAGCAAACAGG
rnacentral:rRNA from 1 species